GUUUACUGCUGGACAAGCAGCUCAGAAA
rnacentral:other from 1 species